rnacentral:lncRNA from 1 species
UUUGACUUGUCUGGGGCAGCAUUUGGCGUCAUCACUACCGUUGGAAUAUAUUUUUCUAUAGGGCAUAUUCCUCCCUCAACUGCCUCGUUGUACUCCUGAUUCAUGAUCUGAAUCAUCAAUCUUCGAUCCAUAUCGAAUUCAGGUUGACCACUCUGUACAGGGUAAUUCAAAACUCGAUGUUGGAUUCUCCCAAUUGCUUUCCAAAAAGAGAAAUUCAUAUCAUCUAUUUUAGCCUUCUUAGAUCGGACAUCUCUUUCCACAAUAUCCACGUGUCGUGUG